GGCAGUCUCUCCAUAAACUGCCUGUAUAACCGCUCUACAUAACUCAGAGGAUUCAUAUAUAUCAUAUUACACCGUAUUAAACAUUUUUAAUAGGUUUCUCAGGUAAAACCAAGCCCCAUAGUUAUUGAGCCAUGUGCAGGUAGCCGAGCUGCAGUGCUGACUGUCCUGGUCAACUUACCACAAGCAGUUUCUGGAGUGCCUCCAACCGGCAGGUAAUGAGUUCAAAUGGGUGCAGGUGAUGAGUGCAGAAUAGGAGGGAUUCUUAAAGAAAAACAAACAGGUCUGAGAGAGCAAGAAUUCUUGCUGGUUGGUAGGUAAUAAAAUACUUAUUUCAUGCUAUAAAAUGCCAAUUAAUUAUUUAUAAAUCAUAUAAUAUGAUUUUCUGGAUUUUUUUAGGUUCUGUCUUUUGCAGUUUAAAGAUACCUACGAUAAAAAAUUACAGAU